rnacentral:rRNA from 1 species
GACGAACGCUGGCGGCGUGCUUAACACAUGCAAGUCGAACGGUGAUGCUCCAGCUUGCUGGAGUGGAUCAGUGGCGAACGGGUGAGUAACACGUGAGCAACCUGCCCCAGACUCUGGAAUAAGCGCUGGAAACGGCGUCUAAUACUGGAUACGAAACUGGCCCGCAUGGGCAUGGUUUGGAAAGGUUUUCGGUUUUGGAUGGGCUCGCGGCCUAUCAGCUUGUUGGUGAGGUAAUGGCUCACCAAGGCGACGACGGGUAGCCGGCCUGAGAGGGCGACCGGCCACACGGGGACUGCGACACGGCCCAGACUCCUACGGGAGGCAGAAGUGGGGAAUAUUGCACAAUGGGCGCAAGCCUGAUGCAGCGACGCCGCGUGGGUGAUGACGGCCUUCGGGUUGUAAACCUCUUUCAGCAGGGAAGAAGCGAAAGUGACGGUACCUGCAGAAGAAGCACCGGCUAACUACGUG